AUACGGGGGGUGCAAGCGUUAUUCGGAAUCACUGGGCGUAAAGGACGCGUAGGCGGGUUGGCAAGUCAGAUGUGAAAUCCUACAGCUUAACUGUAGAACUGCAUUUGAAACUGCUAACCUAGAGUAUGGGAGGGGGAGAUGGAAUUAGUGGUGUAGGGGUAAAAUCCGUAGAUAUCACUAGGAAUACCGAAAGCGAAGGCGAUCUCCUGGAACAUAACUGACGCUAAGGCGUGAAAGCGUGGGGAGCAAACAGGAUUAGAAACCCUAGUAGUCC
rnacentral:rRNA from 1 species